UUGUUGAUCGGGAGGUGCGAAAACUACGGAAUCGUGAAAUUCCGUAUGUUAAAGUUUAUUGGAGUGAACACAAUGAUCGGGAAGAAACGUGGGAACAUGAGGACAUGAUGAGAGAGCGUUAUCCUCAUCUCUUCAAAGAGCUGAAGUGAGGUAUGAGUUUUAGAUUGCAAUUAAGUUAGUUUCGCGGAUGAAACUAAUUUUAUAGGGUGGAGAAUGUAACAUAUUGAAA
rnacentral:lncRNA from 1 species